UACGAAGGGGGCUAGCGUUGCUCGGAAUCACUGGGCGUAAAGCGCACGUAGGCGGGCCGUUAAGUCGGGGGUGAAAUCCUGGAGCUCAACUCCAGAACUGCCUUCGAUACUGGCGGCCUUGAGUUUGGAAGAGGUUGGUGGAACUGCGAGUGUAGAGGUGAAAUUCGUAGAUAUUCGCAAGAACACCAGUGGCGAAGGCGGCCAACUGGUCCAAUACUGACGCUGAGGUGCGAAAUCGUGGGGAGCAAACAGG
rnacentral:rRNA from 1 species